rnacentral:rRNA from 1 species
GACGAACGCUGGCGGCGUGCUUAACACAUGCAAGUCGAACGGAAAGGCCCUGCUUUUGUGGGGUGCUCGAGUGGCGAACGGGUGAGUAACACGUGAGUAACCUGCCCUUGACUUUGGGAUAACUUCAGGAAACUGGGGCUAAUACCGGAUAGGAGCUCCUGCUGCAUGGUGGGGGUUGGAAAGUUUCGGCGGUUGGAGAUGGACUCGCGGCUUAUCAGCUUGUUGGUGGGGUAGUGGCUUACCAAGGCUUUGACGGGUAGCCGGCCUGAGAGGGUGACCGGCCACAUUGGGACUGAGAUACGGCCCAGACUCCUACGGGAGGCAGCAGUGGGGAAUAUUGCACAAUGGGCGGAAGCCUGAUGCAGCAACGCCGCGUGCGGGAUGACGGCCUUCGGGUUGUAAACCGCUUUCGCCGGUGACGAAGCGUGAGUGACGGUAAUGGGUAAAGAAGCACCGGCUAACUACGUG